rnacentral:rRNA from 1 species
CGCUGGCGGCAUGCCUUACACAUGCAAGUCGAACGGCAGCACGGGAGCAAUCCUGGUGGCGAGUGGCGAACGGGUGAGUAAUAUAUCGGAACGUGCCCAGUCGUGGGGGAUAACGCAGCGAAAGCUGUGCUAAUACCGCAUACGAUCUCUGGAUGAAAGCGGGGGACUCAGCAAUGAGCCUCGCGCGAUUGGAGCGGCCGAUAUCAGAUUAGCUAGUUGGUGGGGUAAAAGCCCACCAAGGCGACGAUCUGUAGCUGGUCUGAGAGGACGACCAGCCACACUGGAACUGAGACACGGUCCAGACUCCUACGGGAGGCAGCAGUGGGGAAUUUUGGACAAUGGGCGCAAGCCUGAUCCAGCAAUGCCGCGUGCAGGAUGAAGGCCUUCGGGUUGUAAACUGCUUUUGUACGGAACGAAACGGCUCACUUUAAUACAGUGGGCUAAUGACGGUACCGUAAGAAUAAGCACCGGCUAACUACGUG